rnacentral:rRNA from 1 species
UACAGGGGGUGCAAACGUUGCUCGGAAUCAUUGGGCGUAAAGCGCACGUAGGUGGUGUGUCGCGUCUGCCGUGAAAGCCCGGGGCUUAACUCCGGGUCUGCGGUGGAUACGGGCAGACUAGAGGCAGGUAGGGGAGAACGGAAUUCCCGGUGUAGCGGUGAAAUGCGCAGAUAUCGGGAGGAACACCGGUGGCGAAGGCGGUUCUCUGGGCCUGUACUGACGCUGAGGAGCGAAAGCGUGGGGAGCGAACAGG